ACGACCUUACUUGAACAGGAUCUGUUCUAUAGGCUCGUACUUCUGAAUCCUUGAGUUCUAAGGAGACAGGAACCUCAACCUGGUGGAUGAAUCACGACCGUGUGAUCAGAGCGUGAUUAACGGCUUGAUGGUCUGUAAAGACCAUCGAAGCUGUAGAGGAUCGUUCUCAGUCAGUUCGCUGGCCGGGGGUGGUCACACGGUUGUCUGACAGGCA
rfam:Morus notabilis contig16453, whole genome shotgun sequence.